rnacentral:rRNA from 1 species
GACGAACGCUGGCGGCGUGCUUAACACAUGCAAGUCGAACGGAAAGGCCCUGCUUGCAGGGUACUCGAGUGGCGAACGGGUGAGUAACACGUGGGUGAUCUGCCCUGCACUUCGGGAUAAGCCUGGGAAACUGGGUCUAAUACCGGAUAGGAGCCAUUUUUAGUGUGAUGGUUGGAAAGUUUUUUCGGUGUAGGAUGAGCUCGCGGCCUAUCAGCUUGUUGGUGGGGUAAUGGCCUACCAAGGCGGCGACGGGUAGCCGGCCUGAGAGGGUGGACGGCCACACUGGGUCGGAGAUACGGCCACGUCGGGUACGCGUCGGAGCAGUGGGGAAUCUUGCGGGAUGGACGCCUGCUGGAUGCAGCGACGCCUCGGGGGGGAUGACGCCUUUAGGAUUGUAAACUACAUUAGCAAGGGACGAAGCUUGUUGUGACGGUACCUAGAUAAGAAGCCCCGGCUAACUACGUG